GACGUAGGAGGCGAGCGUUGUCCGGAUUCAUUGGGCGUAAAGAGCACGCAGGCGGUUUGGCAAGUCGGACGUGAAAAUCCGGGGCUCAACCCCGGACCUGCAUCCGAAACUGCCCGACUAGAGGUAGGUAGGGGAGAUCGGAAUUCCUGGUGUAGCGGUGAAAUGCGCAGAUAUCAGGAGGAACACCGGUGGCGAAGGCGGAUCUCUGGGCCUUACCUGACCGCUCGAGGUGCGAAAGCUAGGGGAGCGA
rnacentral:rRNA from 1 species